AUUGAACGCUGGCGGCAGGCCUAACACAUGCAAGUCGAGCGGGGUUUUCGGACCUAGCGGCGGACGGGUGAGUAAUGCGUAGGAAGCUACCCGGUAGAGGGAGAUACCAGUUGGAAACGACUGUUAAUACCGCAUAAUGUCUACGGACCAAAGUGUGGGACCUUCGGGCCACAUGCUAUCGGAUGCGCCUACGUGGGAUUAGCUAGUUGGUGGGGUAAUGGCUCACCAAGGCGACGGUCCCUAGCUGGUUUGAGAGGAUGAUCAGCCACACUGGAACUGAGACACGGUCCAGACUCCUACGGGAGGCAGCAGUGGGGAAUAUUGGACAAUGGGCGCAAGCCUGAACCAGCCAUGCCGCGUGUGUGAAGAAGGCCUUCGGGUUGUAAAGCACUUUCAGUAGGGAGGAAGGGUGUUGUGUUAAUAGCACAGCAUUUUGACGUUACCUACAGAAGAAGCACCGGCUAACUCUGUGCCAGCCGCCGCCGUAACAC
rnacentral:rRNA from 1 species